rnacentral:SRP_RNA from 1 species
GCCUGUCCUGCAGGAUUGGUUUUUUAGGGAAACAUGUCAGAUCAGGAAUGAAGCAGCAUUAACCUUUAAGACUGGUGCUUGCGUGGUCGCGGGUC